rnacentral:rRNA from 1 species
GUAAGCUACUAAGAGCGAACGGUGGAUGCCUUGGCUAGUAGAGGCGAUGAAAGACGUGCCAGGCUGCGAUAAGUCUCGGGGAGCCGUCAAGGGGCUUUGAUCCGGGAAUUUCUGAAUGGGGCAACCCAAUACAUAGCGAUAUGUGUUACCAUUAAUGGAGCCAACGCGGGGAACUGAAACAUCUAAGUACCCGCAGGAAGAGAAAUCAAUAGAGAUUACGCUAGUAGCGGCGAGCGAACGCGUAAGAGGGCAAACCACUAGUUUACUAGUGGGGUUGUAGGACCGCAACAUAGACUAGGAUCUGAUAAUAGAACAAUCUGGAAAGGUUAGGCAUAGAGGGUGAUACUCCCGUAUAUGAAAUCACAUCCUUACUUAGCGGUAUCCUGAGUAGGACGGGACACGUGAAAUCCUGUCUGAAGCCGGGUCGACCACGAUCCAACCCUAAAUACUACUACUAGACCGAUAGCGUACAAGUACCGUGAGGGAAAGGUGAAAAGAACGGCGGUGAGCCGAGUGAAAUAGAACCUGAAACCGUUUGCUUACAAUCAUUCAGAGCACUAUGCUAUACUCUUUAAAAUUAAUCCAGCUUGGCUUUUUAGCCCUUUUUUUAUGAAACUGCGACUGCGGCAGCCGAAUCCGGCUAGCCUUGCCUUGUUUCAUAAAAAAUCAUCUAAAAAUCCUGCGCAUUUGAAAUUCUAAAUUUUGAUCUGAUAAAAUUUCAUCAUAAAUGACACAAACAGAGCUUUAUGGUCUAAAUUUAGAAGUAACGAUUAACGAUUAGUUUUAAUGAGUAUAGCAGUGUGAUGGACUGCCUUUUGCAUAAUGAGCCUGCGAGUUGUGGUGUCUGGCGAGGUUAAGGAAACCCGGAGCCGUAGCGAAAGCGAGUCUUAAUAGGGCGAUUAGUCAGAUGCUGCAGACCCGAAACGAUGUGAUCUAUCCAUGAGCAGGUUGAAGCCGGUGUAAGAGCCGGUGGAGGACCCAACCGACGGCCGUUGAAAAGGCUCCGGAUGACUUGUGGAUAGGGGUGAAAGGCCAAUCAAACAUCGUGAUAGCUGGUUCUCUCCGAAAUAUAUUGAGGUAUAGCGUCGUGUAGUAGUUAUAAGGGGUAGAGCACUGAAUGGGCUAGGGCAUACACCAAUGUACCAAACCCUAUCAAACUCCGAAUACUUAUAGCGUAACCACGGCAGUCAGGCGGCGAGUGAUAAAAUCCGUCGUCAAGAGGGAAACAACCCGGACUAACAGCUAAGGUCCCCAAAUCUCAUUUAAGUGGAAAACGAUGUGAAGUUACUGAAACAACCAGGAGGUUGGCUUAGAAGCAGCCAUCCUUUAAAGAUAGCGUAAUAGCUCACUGGUCUAGUGAUUUUGCGCGGAAAAUAUAACGGGGCUAAAAUGAGUACCGAAGCUUUAGAUAGUGUCUAUGAUUAUUUAUACUAGCUUGUCUCUUUGGCAUCUUUAAAUGAGCUUCAUUUUUUCUCCUGCGGCAACCUACACCGGUUAGCCUUAGUCGAAAAAAUAUCAGCAACAUUUAAAUCUGCUCAAAACAAGCGAAGCGCUUUUUGCGAAAACAAAAAUGUUUCUUUGAAAGGCACUUCGCUUUCUGCAUUCAAAUUUGAAUGCAACGUCUUAAUCUAAAUUUUAUAAAUUUCAAAUUUCUUAGAAUUUUAAAAUUUAGUAACAAAAAGCAAAAAAGACAAGCCUAAGUAAAGUAUAAAUACUCAUAGACACUGUGGUAGGAGAGCGUUCCAAUCAGCAUCGAAGCCGUACCGGUAAGGAGCGGUGGAGCGGUUGGAAGUGAGCAUGCAGGCAUGAGUAGCGAUAAAAUACGUGAGAAUCGUAUUCGCCGUAAACCCAAGGUUUCCUACGCGAUGCUCGUCAUCGUAGGGUUAGUCGGGUCCUAAGCAAAGUCCGAAAGGGGUAUGCGAUGGAAAAUCGGUUAAUAUUCCGAUACCGAUAUCAGUGUGCGACGGAAGGACGCUUAAAGUUAGUGGAGCUAGCGGAUGGAAGUGCUAGUCUAAGGAAGUAGGUUGAGUUAUAGGCAAAUCCGUAACUCUUUAUCCGAGAUCUGAAAGGCUUCUGACGCUCUUCGGAGUAGAUGAAGAAUCCAUGAUACUAUCGAGCCGAGAAAAGUUUCUAAGUUUAGCUGAUAUCGCCCGUACCGUAAACCGACACAGGUGGGUGGGAUGAGUAUUCUAAGGCGCGUGGAAGAACUCUCUUUAAGGAACUCUGCAAAAUAGCACCGUAUCUUCGGUAUAAGGUGUGCCUAGCUUCGUUAAGAAUUUACUUCGUAAGCGAAGAAGGUUACAACAAAGAGUCCCUCCCGACUGUUUACCAUAAACACAGCACUCUGCUAACUCGUAAGAGGAUGUAUAGGGUGUGACGCCUGCCCGGUGCUCGAAGGUUAAUUGAUGAUGUUAGCUUAUGCAAAGCAUCUGAUCGAAGCCCGAGUAAACGGCGGCCGUAACUAUAACGGUCCUAAGGUAGCGAAAUUCCUUGUCGGUUAAAUACCGACCUGCAUGAAUGGCGUAACGAGAUGGGAGCUGUCUCAAAGAGGGAUCCAGUGAAAUUGUAGUGGAGGUGAAAAUUCCUCCUACCCGCGGCAAGACGGAAAGACCCCGUGGACCUUUACUAUAGCUUGACACUGCUACUUGGAUAAAGAUGCGCAGGAUAGGUGGGAGGCUUUGAGUCGUAGAUCUUGGUUUACGAUGAGCCAUUGUUGAGAUACCACUCUUCUUUAUUCGGGUAGCUAACUAGCCUAAGUUAUCCUUAGGUAGGACAAUGUCUGGUGGGUAGUUUGACUGGGGCGGUCGCCUCCCAAAAUGUAACGGAGGCUUACAAAGGUUGGCUCAAAGCGGUUGGAAAUCGCUUGUAGAGUAUAAAGGCAAAAGCCAGCUUAACUGCGAGACAUACACGUCGAGCAGAGACGAAAGUCGGUCUUAGUGAUCCGGUGGUUCUGUGUGGAAGGGCCAUCGCUCAAAGGAUAAAAGGUACCCCGGGGAUAACAGGCUGAUCUCCCCCAAGAGCUCACAUCGACGGGGAGGUUUGGCACCUCGAUGUCGGCUCAUCGCAUCCUGGGGCUGAAGUCGGUCCCAAGGGUUGGGCUGUUCGCCCAUUAAAGCGGUACGCGAGCUGGGUUCAGAACGUCGUGAGACAGUUCGGUCCCUAUCUGCCGUGGGCGUAAGAAGAUUGAGGAGAGUUGACCCUAGUACGAGAGGACCGGGUUGAACCGACCACUGGUGUACCGGUUGUUCUGCCAAGAGCACCGCCGGGUAGCUAAGUCGGGAUGCGAUAAGAGCUGAAAGCAUCUAAGCUCGAAGCCGACUCCAAGAUGAAUCUUCUUUUAAGAGCUCUAGUAGACUACUAGUUUGAUAGGCCGGAUGUGUAAUGGAUGAAAGUCCUUUAGCUGACCGGUACUAAUAGCUCGUUUGCUUAUCUUU